UACAGAGGUCUCGAGCGUUGUUCGGAUUCAUUGGGCGUAAAGGGUGCGUAGGCUGCGGGGCAAGUCUGAUGUGAAAUCCUGGGGCUCAACCCCAGAACUGCAUUGGAUACUGCUUUGCUAGAGUACUGGAGAGGAGACUGGAAUUUACGGUGUAGCAGUGAAAUGCGUAGAGAUCGUAAGGAAGACCAGUGGCGAAGGCGAGUCUCUGGACAGUUACUGACGCUGAGGCACGAAGGCCAGGGGAGCAAACGGG
rnacentral:rRNA from 1 species